CCCUUAGAUGUCCUGGGCCGCACGCGCGCUACACUGAGUGUCUGAGAUACGAGUCUGCCUGGUCCGGCAAGGUCUAGGUAAUCGCUAAAAGACACAUCAUGCUUGGGAUAGAUUAUUGCAAAUAUUAAUCUUGAACGAGGAAUUCCUAGUAAGCGCAAGUCAACAGCUUGCGUUGAUUACGUCCCUGCCCUUUGUACACACCGCCCGUCGCUACUACUGAUUGGAUGUUUAAGCGAGGUUCUCGAACUGCUAGCGACUUAGCUUCGGGGAGGUCGCAGUGUGGGAAGUGAACCUAGCUUUGGUGUCUAGAGGAAGUAAAAGUCGUAACA
rnacentral:rRNA from 1 species